rnacentral:rRNA from 1 species
GAAAUCCUGGCUCAGGACGAACGCUGGCGGCGCGCCUAACACAUGCAAGUCGAACGAGCGAGAGAGAGCUUGCUUUCUCAAGCGAGUGGCGAACGGGUGAGUAACGCGUGAGGAACCUGCCUCAAAGAGAGGGACAACAGUUGGAAACGACUGCUAAUACCGCAUAAGCCCACGGCUCGGCAUCGAGCAGAGGGAAAAGGAGCAAUCCGCUUUGAGAUGGCCUCGCGUCCGAUUAG